UAAAAACUUUGGGGCAGCAAA
rnacentral:piRNA from 1 species